GAUGAACGCUGGCGGCGUGCCUAAUACAUGCAAGUCGAGCGAACAGACGAGGAGCUUGCUCCUCUGACGUUAGCGGCGGACGGGUGAGUAACACGUGGAUAACCUACCUAUAAGACUGGGAUAACUUCGGGAAACCGGAGCUAAUACCGGAUAAUAUAUUGAACCGCAUGGUUCAAUAGUGAAAGACGGUUUUGCUGUCACUUAUAGAUGGAUCCGCGCCGCAUUAGCUAGUUGGUAAGGUAACGGCUUACCAAGGCGACGAUGCGUAGCCGACCUGAGAGGGUGAUCGGCCACACGGGACCUGGGACACGGUCCAGACUCCUACGGGAGGCAGCAGGAGGGAAUCUUCCGCAAGGGGCGAAAGCCUGACGGAGCAACGCCGCGGGGGUGAUGAAGGUCUGCGGAUCGUAAAACUCUGUUAUUAGGGAAGAACAAAUGUGUAAGUAACGAUGCACGUCUGGACGGUACCGAAGCAGAAAGCCACGGCAACCUACGU
rnacentral:rRNA from 1 species